CGCAACCCUCGACCUUAGUUGCCAGCAUUCAGUUGGGCACUCUAAGGUGACUGCCGGCUAAAAGUCGGAGGAAGGUGGGGAUGACGUCAAAUCAUCAUGCCCCUUAUGACCUGGGCUACACACGUGCUACAAUGGGCGGUACAAAGGGUCGCGAACCCGCGAGGGGGAGCCAAUCCCAAAAAGCCGCUCUCAGUUCGGAUUGCAGGCUGCAACUCGCCUGCAUGAAGCCGGAAUCGCUAGUAAUCGCGGAUCAGCAUGCCGCGGUGAAUACGUUCCCGGGCCUU
rnacentral:rRNA from 1 species